rnacentral:lncRNA from 1 species
GUGUCUCAGAGCUUUUUCAGUCUGUUCACCUGAAAAGGGGGCAAAAGAAACCAAAGGAAAGGAGAAACCUACCUAAUACCAAGGCAGGAAAGCAGAAUAAUAUGCAAAACCAAGAUGAAACAUGUUUCAGGUCUACAUUACAAUUCAGACAGAAAUUUAAAUCAGCUGAAGACACCAGAAUAAAAUGCUCUCUUCUUUGCUUUGCAUUCCCAACUGUAGCCUCACAGGAAAUUCAGUCCCUGGCAAGCUUCAGCUCCAGACAGGAAACAUUCUGAGGAAUUUCUUCCAUACAGGUACUAUAUUUGCUUGGAGGGUUAACAUGUUGGAGAUAUUUACCAUGGCUGGAUUUAACUAGCAGGA